AAUAAGGGCCUAAAACGCCCUAAAGGCACCAGAUCCCGACUGAUUUCGGGUGCUAAGCAGGGUCAGCCCUGGCUAGUAUUUGGAUGGGAGACUGCCCACGAAUCCCGUGUGCUGUGGGCU
rnacentral:rRNA from 1 species